rnacentral:rRNA from 1 species
GAUGAACGCUGGCGGCGUGCCUAAUACAUGCAAGUCGAGCGAACAGAUGAGGAGCUUGCUCCUCUGACGUUAGCGGCGGACGGGUGAGUAACACGUGGAUAACCUACCUAUAAGACUGGGAUAACUUCGGGAAACCGGAGCUAAUACCGGAUAAUAUAUUGAACCGCAUGGUUCAAUAGUGAAAGACGGUUUUGCUGUCACUUAUAGAUAGAUCCGCGCCGCAUUAGCUAGUUGGUAAGGUAACGGCUUACCAAGGCGACGAUGCGUAGCCGACCUGAGAGGGUGAUCGGCCACACUGGAACUGAGACACGGUCCAGACUCCUACGGGAGGCAGCAGUAGGGAAUCUUCCGCAAUGGGCGAAAGCCUGACGGAGCAACGCCGCGUGAGUGAUGAAGGUCUUCGGAUCGUAAAACUCUGUUAUUAGGGAAGAACAAAUGUGUAAGUAACUAUGCACGUCUUGACGGUACCUAAUCAGAAAGCCACGGCUAACUACGUG